rnacentral:rRNA from 1 species
UACAGAGGUCUCAAGCGUUGUUCGGAUUCAUUGGGCGUAAAGGGUGCGUAGGCGGCGGGGUAAGUCUGAUGUGAAAUCCCGGGGCUCAACUCCGGAACUGCAUUGGAUAUUGCCCUGCUUGAGUACUGGAGAGGAGACUGGAAUUUACGGUGUAGCAGUGAAAUGCGUAGAGAUCGUAAGGAAGACCAGUGGCGAAGGCGAGUCUCUGGACAGUUACUGACGCUGAGGCACGAAGGCCAGGGGAGCAAACGGG